UCAUCUGGGUGGUAGGUUGAAAGAGCAGCCCUCGUUGAAGACAUACUGUCUCUGUGGCAGACAGAAUGGAGCAAGAGAGCGGUGAAAACAAUCAGUGGCUCUUAAAGCUUCUGCUUAGGAGUGGGGUAUGCCACCCACACUCCUGUACCACCGACCAAACCAAGUCACAAGGCCUGGCUGACAGCAGUGGAGCAUGAAGGCUGAUCCCGCCUCCUGGAGCUGCCAGUCAAAUUGCAGAGGAUGGGGAUAUAUGUCCUUAAAGAAAAGGAUCUUAUGAUCCUAUUACCUUAGGACCUCCUUCGACAAACAGAUUAGGGCACACAUAGAAGGAAGACCAUGUGAAGAUGGGGAGAAGAUGGCCAUCUGUAAGCCCCAGAGACAGGCCUCAGAAGGAAACCAACCUGCUCACACCUUGAUCUUGGACAUCUAACCUCUGGAAUUGUAAAAAAAUAAAUGUCUCUUCUUUAAGCCA